rnacentral:rRNA from 1 species
CCAGACUCCUACGGGAGGCAGCAGUGGGGAAUAUUGCACAAUGGGGGAAACCCUGAUGCAGCGACGCCGCGUGAGCGAAGAAGUAUUUCGGUAUGUAAAGCUCUAUCAGCAGGGAAGAAAAAAAUGACGGUACCUGAGUAAGAAGCACCGGCUAAAUACGUGCCAGCAGCCGCGGUAAUACGUGUGGUGCAAGCGUUAUCCGGAUUUACUGGGCGUAAAGGGAGCGCAGGCGGCACGGCAAGUCUGGUGUGAAAGCCCGGGGCCCAACCCCAGGACUGCAUUGGAAACUGCCGGGCUGGAGUGCCGGAGGGGCAGGCGGAAUUCCUGGUGUAGCGGUGAAAUGCGCAGAUAUCAGGAAGAACACCGGUGGCGCAGGCGGCCUGCUGGACGGCAACUGACGCUGAGGCUCGAAAGCGUGGGGAGCAAACAGGAUUAGAUACCCCAGUA